rnacentral:tRNA from 1 species
GGCGGCGUAGCUCAGUCGGUAGAGCAGCGGACUCAUAAGCCGCAGGUCACUGGUUCAAGUCCAGUCGCCGCUACCA